GAUGAACGCUGGCGGCGUGCCUAAUACAUGCAAGUCGAGCGAACAGACGAGGAGCUUGCUCCUCUGACGUUAGCGGCGGACGGGUGAGUAACACGUGGAUAACCUACCUAUAAGACUGGGAUAACUUCGGGAAACCGGAGCUAAUACCGGAUAAUAUAUUGAACCGCAUGGUUCAAUAGUGAAAGACGGUUUUGCUGUCACUUAUAGAUGGAUCCGCGCCGCAUUAGCUAGUUGGUAAGGUAACGGCUUACCAAGGCAACGAUGCGUAGCCGACCUGAGAGGGUGAUCGGCCACACUGGACCUGAGACACGGUCAAGACUCCUACGGGAAGCAGCAGUAGGGAAUCUUCCGCAAUGGGCGAAAGCCUGACGGAGCAACCCCGCGUGAGUGAUGAAGGUCUUCGGAUCGUAAAACUCUGUUAUUAGGGAAGAACAAAUGUGUAAGUAACUAUGCACGUCUUGACGGUACCUAAUCAGAAAGCCACGGCUAACUACGUG
rnacentral:rRNA from 1 species